rnacentral:rRNA from 1 species
UACGUAGGGUGCAGGCGUUAAUCGGAAUUAUUGGGCGUAAAGCGUGCGCAGGCGGUUUCUUAAGUCAGAUGUGAAAGCCCCGGGCUUAACCUGGGAACUGCGUUUGAAACUGGGAGACUUGAGUGUGGCAGAGGGGGGUGGAAUUCCACGUGUAGCGGUGAAAUGCGUAGAGAUGUGGAGGAACACCGAUGGCGAAGGCAGCCUUCUGGGCCAACACUGACACUCAUGCACGAAAGCGUGGGGAGCAAACAGG